rnacentral:lncRNA from 13 species
GCUACGCCGAAGGCGGGGGCGGGGGCGGGAGGGGGAGUCCUGGAAGGGGGUCGGGCGGGAGGGGAGGAGACGGCAGAGCAGCCAAUCCGCGCGCGGCCCAUCAGCUGACCGCCUUUGCUUACACCAGGUGCACGCCGGCUGCGGGGAGCACAAAGCGGGGCGCACCGAGGGCGCCGGCAGCGAGCGGGGGAGCGAGGCGAGGCCCGUGCGCCCGCGGCUGCAAGCGCCUGUCGGGCGGGGAGAGGGGCCGGCGGCGUCAGCCCGGGCGAUUGCCACCGCGCAGCGGCAUCCCUACUCGCCUGGGGCGCCUUCCUCCGGACCUGGCCGCUCGCUGCCCCGCCCUCUGCACCCCACUUCUCUAACCCUCUUUUCCAAUCCUGCCUGCCCCUGCCCUGGCCUCGAAGAGCUGACUGAGCCCAGCCCCGUGCAGCAGCUGUUGCUUGUGUUGCCGCCUCGCCUCCUGUCUUGGUGCUCUGCCGGGGGUCCCCCGAGGAGCCAGUGCGCGCUGCGGGCUGGGAAGGAGGCGCCUCUCGGCCCGUCCUCCUCCUCCUUCUCCUCCUCCUCCUCGUCGUUCUCCUCCUCCUCCUGCUGCUGCUGCUGCUGCUGCUGCCGCCGCCACGGGUGCCGGGUCCGUGCGCACCCCGACACCCCCACCAGGUGGGCCUCGGGGUCCCCACUGGAGACAAAAUGA